rnacentral:rRNA from 1 species
GGCUGUUGCUCUCCUUAUGGUGGUGCACGCCUGUCAUAUUUAUCUCUCCCACUGUGCACAUUUUGUAGACCUGGUGUUUGGGAAUUGCUGUAGUCAGCUUUGCCCUUUGCCCUUGCCAGUCUAUGUUAUUUUAUCACAACCUCUGAAUGUUUUGAACUUUUUAUGAUGGAAAUUAUAUACAACUUUCAGCAACGGAUCUCUUGGCUCUCGCAUCGAUGAAGAACGCAGCGAAAUGCGAUAAGUAAUGUGAAUUGCAGAAUUCAGUGAAUCAUCGAAUCUUUGAACGCAUCUUGCGCUUCUUGGUAUUCCAAGGAGCAUGCCUGUUUGAGUGUCAUUAAAGUUCUCAAAACCCACAUGCUUGUCAUGUGGAAUUUUGGAUAUGGGGGUUUGCAGGCUUUUUAAAGUCGGCUCCUCUGAAAUGUAUCAGUGGUAUCUGUGUGGACUACAGGUGUGAUAAAUAAAAUCUAUGCCUUGCCCCUCACCGUGCUGCUUCUUCUGACGAGUUGGGAUUGACAAAUUUGACCUCAAAUCAGGUAGGACUACCCGCUGAACUUAAGCAUAUCAAUAAGCGGAGGAAAAGAAACUAACAAGGAUUCCCCUAGUAACUGCGAGUGAAGCGGGAAAAGCUCAAAUUUGAAAUCUGACGGUUCUUGAUCGUCCGAGUUGUAAUCUAGAGAAGUGUUACCUGUGCUGGACCGUGUUCAAGUCUCCUGGAAUGGAGCAUCAUAGAGGGUGAGAAUCCCGUCUUUGACACGGACUGCCUGUACGCCGUG